GCCCCCGUGGAUCAUGGUGAUCCCCUCAAAUCAAUGCCAGUUCUAAUAACCUGUAGUUCAAUGAGGAGCCGGAGGUUCGAAUCCUCCCGGGGGCA